AAAGUCGUAACAAGGUUUCCGUAGGUGGUUCGCCUGCGAAUUUAGUCUGCUUAGCAGGCAACAUCUCUACUGUGCUAGAAAUUACAAAAGUAUUACUAGCAGCCUGCUUAGCAGGUUCACAGAUCAAAUAGAGGUGGCCCUCAGGGGUUAAGACAUGAUCGAUUUGAUGCUGUAAGAGCAUCGGAGAAAUGGAACCUGCGGAAGGAUCAUUAAAGAGUUUAGAGACUUCGGUCUACUACUCCACCCUUUGUUUACAAUACCAUUGUUGCUUUGGCAGGCCCGUCGCAAGACAACCGGCUUUGGCUGGUCAGCGCCUGCCAGAGAACCUAAAACUCAUGUUUAUAUUAUUGUCUGAGUACUAUGUAAUAGUUAAAACUUUCAACAACGGAUCUCUUGGUUCUG
rnacentral:misc_RNA from 1 species